rnacentral:rRNA from 1 species
UACGUGAGGGUGCGAGCGUUGUCCGGAAUUAUUGGGCGUAAAGAGCUUGUAGGCGGUCUGUCGCGUCUGCCGUGAAAUUUCGGGGCUCAACCCCGAACUUGCGGUGGGUACGGGCAGACUAGAGUGUGGUAGGGGAGACUGGAAUUCCUGGUGUAGCGGUGAAAUGCGCAGAUAAUCAGGAGGAACACCGAUGGCGAAGGCAGGUCUCUGGGCCACUACUGACGCUGAGAAGCGAAAGCAUGGGGAGCGAACAGG